GAAAUUCGGCACAGCUUGUACAGUAUCGGUAGGAGCCUAUGAAACGUGAGCGCUAGCUUACGUGGAGGCGCUGGUGGGAUACUACCCUAGAUGUGUUGGCUUUCUAACCCGCACCUCUUAUCGUGGUGGGAGACAGUGUCAGGAGGGCAGUUUGACUGGGGCGGUCGCCUCCUAAAAGGUAACGGAGGCGCUCAAAUGUUCCCUCAGAAUUGUUGUAAAUCAUUCAUAGAGUGUAAAGGCAUAAGGGAUCUUGACUGCGAGACCUACAAGUCGAGCAGGGUC
rnacentral:rRNA from 1 species